rnacentral:lncRNA from 1 species
AUGUGGAUCAAGGCUGGAGGAUGACAAGCUCCUGACUGAUAGAUACAUGGAGACUUCGCUGGUGAUUUAUUGGCUUUCUGCACCUGACGAGAACCACUAGGCCUAUCUGAGGAGGGAAAUAUAUGGGCUUUCCUGACUCCAAGUGGCAGCCCCGGGGCGAGCAUGUGAUGUCAAGCUGGGCAGAGGAAAGCGGAGCUGUGCACCGGCCUGUGUACUGUAAGCCGGCCCGGGUCGUAAAAGUGUCAGCACGCGAUAUAUUUCUUGCAGGGGAUCCUCUCUGGCUCUUGCCAGCGCCUCUCCCCCGUGGCUGGCAGCCGCCCUAGCCGGGCCUGCAAACAGCGGAUGCCCCAGGUCGCUAUCCCUCCGCCCUGCCCCGGAGCGCCGGGCCCUCACGUUCUCGCUCCAGCCUGGGGUCUCUCACGUGGCAUCUGGCCCUGGGGACGGUGCAGCGGAGGAGUUAAUUGCUGUCACUCCUGACUUCAGCGAAAGAGGUCGAUCGUGGGGUGAGAUAUUGAAGCUGGGGAUUGACCUGUGGACCAAGAGUUUGAUGGGGCAACUCAAUAGCAAACUCAAUGUUCCCAGAGAUGAACCAAGCUUCUUCCUCGGGGUUAGCAGGGGCCUGGAGUGGAUGUUUAGUCUACCGGUCAGACUCCAGGUCUUAUAUCUUGAAACUGUAAGUCCCUGAAUUCACAGACAAUUCAGAGUAAGGAUGGAGGCAAAGAAGAGGACCUUGGGUUUACUGUUCACGAGAUGACCUCAUAAAGGUGUUCAGUGAUGAAGAGGAGUGGCUGAAGAGAUGGCUGUCUAGAGUCAACACAAACCUACCCCAAAGUUUGACCUUUGCCUUAAGUCAGUAACUGAGGAGGGCCACGGUCCUGAGUUCAGUCCAGACCCCAGGAAGAUUCAGAGCCUGCAGUUGUCCUCUGGUUUCUAAAGUAUGUUAUUGGGCUAAAGAUUUCAAGACAUUUAUCCUUCUUUGCUUUCUAUCGCAGCCAUUAAAUGUUUUAGAUAUUUUCUGCCAGAAGGCAGGAAUCAUGAAGAUAACAAAUAUUAAAGACAAAACCAAAUAACUUUUAAUGAGAAGGUCAGUCCGUGGUUUGAGUCUUUGGAAAGAAAUCAAGAACUCUGACUAUACUUGCUAUUUGACCAUUGAUUCUCUAGUGGAAAUGGGCAAAUCUUUUAUACCAGGGCAAAUUUUUCAGUAACGGGCCAGACAGCAAAUAUUUUAGGAAUUGUGGGCCAUACAGUCUCUCUCCCAACUACUUAACUCUUCAGCAUAGCAUAAAAGCAGCCAUAAACAAUACUACAACAAGUAUGGCUGCAUUCCAAUAAAACUUUAUUUACAAAAAUAGGCAGCACGCCAGAUUUGGCCCACAAGCUAUAGCUUUCUGACCCCUGCUUUGCCAAACUCAAUAACAAACAGAGAGGGAGACUCUUUUAAAAAAAUUAUAUUCAUUUGGGAGUAGCAUUGCAAUGGGAAUACGUGUGCCAUAGCAAAUUAUGAGCGUAUUCAAAGAGAUUGGGGCAAGGGGAAGUUUAUAAAGGCAAAACGAAGAGGAUUACAAUUGUUCAAAUCAAUUAUCCUUGGCUACAAGGGUGGCACAAGUCCAAGCUUGAACAGGCAGUUGCUAGACAGACAUCCUUACAGAAGUAUUUUCUGUGUAAGGUUGCAGUGGUCUUUUUGCAAAGCUAUAGUAAAUCACAGGGGUCAGUACAACCGUAGUGCAAUGGAUAAGCCUUGCCCUCGGAAAAUCUUCGUGAUCAUGGUAUCUCCCCUGCCAAAUAAAUAUUGUGACAGUUCUUAUCAGGCAUUCAUGUGUAAGAACUCUCCCUUGAUGGCCUUCCCUGGCUCCAUUUGCCAGGGUUUUAACAUAAAUUACUCCAUUUUGAUUCGGACAACUUUCAUAACUGCUUACCAUCUGUGCCUCUGUGUAUAAAAGUGGACAUACUAAAAUUUUUCCUUAGGGCUACAACUAAACAUCCAGCCUAGCCCUUAGCCAGCACCAAGGAAGAGGCCUGGGGGAUAGAGGAACAAAUAAUGAGACCAAGUCAGGCCAUCCCCCAUGGGGUGAGGCCUGCAGGUAGGUGGGCCCAGUGUGGUGUACCUCUAGCACAGUGCCUGGCACAAAAUUGCAGUUUAUUUUCUGAAUAAAUAACUCUUGGAUCAAUUGGUUGCUCUCUGGGAAUGUGACUUUGCUGUUGAGUUGUGCAGAGUACUCUCUGUCUCCAAGCCAAUCCCAGCUUCAGUAUCUCACCCCACAAUCCACAUUUCCCAGUGUCUGGAGUAACAACAAUGACCUGGGGCUGGGCUCUCAGCAAGUCAAACCCUGCCUCAACAAACCCAAACUGCUUUGGGGACCAAUGUGAUGCAAAUGUGUACUGAAUCCCCUGAAUUCCCCCUGGUGAUCCUGUCCUGUAACAGGCCCUCCCCAUCCCCUCAGGCCAGUGCAUUCAGGAAAUCAGUGACCACAGGAUGGUUUCUCAGCUGGAGGGAAGGUCAGCCUGCAUCUGAGCAUCUUAGAACAUGUUAUUUUGUUCCCACUGGUCAAUCCCGUCCAAGCUGUACACAUAGUGCCUAAGCCACGUUUGUUACUGCAGGCCUGUCUUCGGAAAGGUCACUGAACAGAAGGAGGAGGCACCUUACUCUCUUUUGUUACGUCUUCACCACUUUUGUCUAAAGGGAAGUUUAGCUGGAGGGCUGAGCACGCAGACAGGUUUCUGACUGUGCCACAUAGAUCCCACAUUGCUUCUCUGCCAUGAUUUAUCAUCUGUGACUUGACAUGUUCUGCACACACGGGCAUGUUGUACACAUUGAGACAUGCUUCCUGCAUUCAAAGAUUUUCCCAUAUUGAGGGCAUUUUCCUGGUGCAGAAUUGAAGACUGAAUUGAGGCAUUCAGAUUGACCUCAACAUCUACGGGUCUGGAGGAGGUUUGGGACGUUUCCUUUUCUUCUCUUCAGGGGCCCACUCCUGUUGUAAAGAGCAGCAGCAUUUAUAAUGAGGGCCCAGGAAAUGCGGGGGAGAGGGGAGAGCCUGCUAUCUCUGCAGUGGGUGACUGUUGUUUCCCUGAUCAACAAUGUAUCAUAUCCCAGCCUAAGCCUGCCUUUCUCCUUCCCCCUCCACAUGGGGAGGGGCCGUGGGCUCAGAGCUCACCUGGAAUGCCUCUGGUUGCUGAAGGGCUGGAUGGAGACUCUGAGACAACCUGAUGGAUCAUCUCAUAAACAGAGCCUGCAGGAAGGAAAAGAAAAUUAUGCCAGCAUAAUGCACUUACGAGAAAUAGAUACGUGCGGUGCAGGGAGAAAUGCUUUGAUAUUAAAAUUUUUGUAACUUAAAAAGGCAUGAAAAAUGAUACCGACCACUAACUAAUCAACAUUCCUUUGCGAAUACAGCUUCAGUUCCUAACCAAAAACACAUCCCUGCUAUUGUCUUGUCUGGAUCCAGAUGCAAACAUGAUUAAUUAAGUUUCUGGUGAGGAGUGGGACGAGGGCAGUGGGAACUGAUGGCUUGCUGAGGAUCCUUUUCAUAUACAGGCCUGGGGAGAAUCCCUUAGUCUGGGUGCCUAUUUCCCUCCACAUGUCAGGGCUUACCCCGUGCACUGACAGCCACGGGGGCAGUGAGUAGGCUGCAGCCAGACCCAUGGAGUGAGGCAGUGAGAGGCUGAAAGGAGAGGCUCUACAGACAGUACAGGGAGGCUCUUGGUAUCUCCCAUUGCCACUGCACAGCACAGCACGGCAGAGUAGCAAACGCAUAUGCCAUGUCUUGUUGGGAGACCUGGGCCCUGCUCCAGACUGCUACCAAGUAGUUUGGGACCUUGGAUGAGCUGCCUCAAUUUCUCCAUUUGUGAAAUUGGGAGGUGACAGCGUGCUGGCAGCCCUCGCAGCCCUCGCUCUCGGCCUUGGUGCCUGCCUACUCUGGCCGCCCUUGAGGAGCCCUUCGGCCCACGGCUGCACUGUGGGAGCCCCUUUCUGGGCUGGCCAAGGCUGGAGCCAGCUCCCUCAGCUUGCCGGGAGGUGUGGAGGGAGAAGCGCGGGCAGGAACCAGGGCUGCUCAUGGGGCUUGCCGGCCAGCGCGAGUUCUGGGUGGGCAUGGGCUCAGUGCCUGCGCACUCUGAGCGGCCGGCAGGCCUGCGAACCCCGGGCAGUGAGGGGCUUAGCUCCUGGGCCAGCAGCUGCUGUGCUCAAUUUCUCGCCGGGCCUUAGCUGCCUCCCCGCGGGGCAGGGCUCGGGACCUGCAGCCCACCAUGCCUGAGCCUCCUCCCGCCGUGGGCUCCUGUGUGGCUGGAGCCUCCCCGAGGAGCACCGCCCCCUGCUCCACCGCUCCCAGUCCCUCAACCACCCAAGGGCUGAGGAGUGCGGGCGCAUGGCACGGGACUGGCAGGCAGCUCCACCUGCGGCACCGGUACCGGAUCCACUGGGUGAAGCCAGCUGGGCUCCUGAGUCUGGUGGGGACUUGGAGAACCUUGGUGUAGACACUCUGUAUCUAGCUAAUCUAGUGGGGAUGUGGAGAACUUUUGUGUCUAGCUAAGGGAUUGUAAAUACACCAGUCGGCACUCUGUAUCUAGCUCAAGGUUUGUAAACACACCAAUCAGCACCCUGUGUCUAGCUCAGGGUUUGUGAAUGCACCAAUGGACACUCUGUAUCUGGCUACUCUGAUGGGGACUAGGAGAACCUUUGUGUCUAGCUCAGGGAUUGUAAACGCACCAAUCAGCACCCUGUCAAAACGGACCAUUCAGCUCUCUGUAAAACAGACCAAUCGGCUCUCUGUAAAAUGGACCAAUCAGCAGGAUGUGGGUGGGGCCAGAUAAGAGAAUAAAAGCAGGCUGCCCCAGCCAGCAGGCACAACCCUCUCGCCUCACCUGCCGCAGUGUGGAAGUUUUGUUCUUUGGCUCUUUGCAAAAAAUGUUGCUGCUGUUCACUCAUUGGGUCUACACUACCUUUAUGAGCUGUAACACUCACUGGGAAGGUCUGCAGCUUCACUCCUGAAGCCAGCGAGACCACGAACCCACCGGGAGGAACAAACAAUUCCAGACGCGCCGCCUUAAGAGCUGUAGCAGUCACGGCCGGGCACGGUGGCUCACGCCUGUAAUCCCAGCACUUUGGGAGGCCGAGACGGGCGGAUCACGAGGUCAGGAGAUCGAGACCAUCCUGGCUAACACGGUGAAACCCCGUCUCUACUAAAAAUACAAAAAAAAUUAGCUGGGCAUGGUGGCGCACGCCUGUAGUCCCAGCUACACGGGAGGCUGAGGCAGGAGAAUGGCGUGAACCCGGGAGGCGGAGCUUGCAGUGAGUCGAGAUCGCGCCACUGCACUUCAGCCUGGGCGACAGAGCGAAACUCCGUCUCAAAAAAAAAAAAAAAAAAGAGCUGUAGCAGUCACAGCAAAGGUAUGCAGCUUCACUCCUGAGUCAGCGAGACCAGGAACCCACCACAAGGAAGAAACUCCGAACACAUCCGAACAUCAGAAGGAACAAAUUCUGGACACGCUGCCUUUAAGAACUGUAACACUCAGCGCGAGGGUCCCCUGCUUCAUUCUUGAAGUCAGUGAGACCAAGAACCCACCAAUUCCAGACACAAAAGGAGAGGUUGGAUUAAAUGUUCCUCAAAGUCUUCCAUUUCUGGCUUUUUAUUCCAGUGCCCAAAGUCCUUCACACAAAGCA